CGUGGAAAGGAAUGAUCUUGACCUGGGGCAGCCUCGAAGAACUUGGGACCGCCCCUGAGACCCCCCCAGAUCCCCCGUGAGGAGGACGACGCCUCGCACAGGGUCGCUAGGAAACACAGUGAUGGGGGAACCUGCCUAGGGCAGCCAAGCCUGCCCGACCCGAGACGUCCGGGCGAUUGACUGCCCUCCUGCCCCGCCCACAGUCUUUCUGAGGAUUGGCGGCUUCCUUCUUCCUGUCCUGCCCCCUCCGAACGGCCCGCUGAUUGGCUGCGGCUUUCUGGUCAGCCCCGCCCCCUCCCUGGCGCUAGUAUCAGCGCAUCGAGCACGGCCUCGGUCUUUCUGUCUCCGGCUUGGAGGCCGAACCUCCGCAGCCAGGUCCCCAACCCGCAGUCGUGCGACUGCCUCGGAUCCAAGUGCAGGUUGAAAGCUACAAGAAACUGAAAGCCUUGAAGUGUGUUCCAGGGGGGUGUAAUGCAUCCAAGGUGAAGUAGGCUCACCCGUGUCUCCUUAGGACUAGGGCUGUGGAAGCAGAUUCAUUGCCACCCACUUUGCUACUGAGAUGGGUGCUGUAAUCCCAUUUUACAGAUAAGAGUAAGUCCGGGCGGUGGCUGCCCACGCCUUUAAUUCCAGCACUCGAGGCAGAGGCAGUGGAUCUCUGAGUUCAGAUCAUCCUGGUCUACAAAAGCUAGAGUAUCAUGUGAGAGUAUCCCUGAAUAGCCUUGUAAUUGCACUGAAGGAGGUUUCUCCAUGCCUGGCUGCCCUAGAACUUAGAUUAGCUUGCCUCUGCCCCUGAAUGCUGGAAUUAGAGGCCUGUGCCACCACACCUAGCUAUGACAUUGUAAGGGACUUACGUAUAGCAAAAGGGGGGGGGUUAAAUGACUUGCUAGGUCUAGGUCAUUUGGCUGUGUUGGUAUGGGAAGUGGUGCUUGUAUUCCCCUGGAUGCUAGAACAAGUUCUUUGCUACUGCCUAGUCAUCUAUAUAUUGCUUUACCGCUGAUUUUCCAGAAUCUUAAAUAAAAGCUAUUUUAGAA